AAAUGUGAAAAAAAAUCUUAGUCUUUAAAUGGCGAAUCCGUUUUUUCCAAUGCAUUUUUUCAUUGUGAUCAAAAUCCUGAUUAGGAUUCAAAUGUAAUCAGUUUUCACACGUUUUCACAGUUCUGGUGACUGAAUUGAACGCUGGAUUCAAACAGCGCUAAUGUGAAAGUAGCCUUACCCUGGGUUCACGCCUGAGCGGUUUACAGCACGUUCAAACGCAUGAAAUCCAAUGCUUCCCUAUGGCCCUGGUUCACACUUUUGUUUGAACGCGCUGAAAAACUCCCUACGCUCAAAAAAGUUCUUGAGCUUCUUUGGGGCGUUUUGUCGCGCGUUUGCGGCCAUAGGAUUGCAUAGGAACGAGCAAAUAUGUUAUUUUGCGCGUUUUUGACCAGAAAAACGCACGUCCGAACGCGCGUUUGGCACAUAGCAACAGUCAUAAAAGGCCACACUCUAGUGAUCGGCAAGUGUCAUCUAGCCUGACCAAGAUGGAGGAAGCAGGCUGUGAUAGUGAGACACUGAUCAGGCUUGUGCAGGCAAAACGCUGCCUGUAUGACAUCCAAGAUGCCAAGUACAAGAACAGGAGAAGCAGGCAGCAGGCAUGGGAGGAUAUUGGAGCAAGCAUCUGGCCACAGUGGAGGAAGAGAUUCUCAAAAACUGUGAAAGAAGGCAAAGUAAACUUCCUAAAAAGCAAGUGGAAGAGCCUCAAAGAUGCCUUUAUUCGUCAUCGACACAAAGAGAAGUAACAGAGGAGUGGAGCUUCGCCAAGUGCACGGUCCAGCUAUGUCCAUGCGGAGGAAAUGGCCUUUCUAAUCCCAUGCACUGAAAUGCGUAGCACCGAUAGUAGCUGCAGCAGGAGGAGGAAAAGGAGGAGGUCACCAGGGACAGUGAGGCCUGUGUGUCUACGGGGCCACUAAGUCCUCCUCCACCCGAUCCCACCCCUACAUUCCAAACACCCUCACAGCCUGCCCCACCUGUCGUGGAACCCGAAAACAUUCGGACUCGCUGUUCAAAACGGAAAAGAACCGAUCGCCAGGAGGACCGGCUAAUUGCAUGCCUGGAUGCACUUGCCCAUCCAGCACCCAAACUCACUAGUGAUGCACUUUUCUUACUGAGUUUGGAGGAAAAAAUGCUGCUAGUUCACCGAAGUCGCAUAACUGAAGCGAGGGACGCCUUAACAAGGACUCUAGACAGCUACAUUACACAUUAUGACAUCACACAGCCCAACAAUGCACCACCACAUCCACCACAAUAUCCACCACAACAUCCACCACCCACUCACACAUACACAUCACAAACAUACCCACAAACUAACAUACCACACCCUCACGACACAUGGCACACACAACCACAAUCAUCAUACAGCUAUCCCUCCACUAGCAUGGGCACCAACACCUCCACCACCACUCAAAUGCAACCUGCCCAGCAAUCAGGCGGAAUCAGAGAGGCCAUGCGGGAUAACGAUCCACAAUACCAAAACCUUUGAGAAGUAGCAUACUUAAUUUGGUGCAUCGGGGGUGUUCUUCCUUCAUUGUUAAUAUCGGAAAAUUACCAAAUAAUUUUAAGUUAACAAUUACAAAACUUAUAUUGAUUGCGUUAAACACAGUUUGCGCAUUUUUGGAGGAACUGUAAGAGGUUAUUACUUUUCAAAAAUAUAAACAUUUGCAAACUUUUUGGGACUCUUAUUUCAAAGAGAGUGUUUGGUAUGGAAAAAUGUGGGUAAACUAUGUAUGGUAUCUAUAUGCCAAAUGUAAAAAGCAUACACAUACAAUACCCCCCCUCAAAAACACUUGAAACGUCACAACCACCAGUAGAAAAUAACAAAGGCCACACUAAUAUACAGUCAACACACAAUGCAAAUUUUUUAUUAGGACACAAUUACAGUCUACUUACCGCAAAGUAAUGAUCAGUCUUUCCGCUGGUGGGAUACUGUCCCGCAUGAAUGUGUCCUGAUGUUGUAAACGGGUGCCCAACAACCCCAGGAGCUCAUCAAAGCUGUUGCAAACGAAAAUGGUGAGGGUUAACAAUACCAAAAAACUACAACUGGUACCUUCACAAUUGGAACCCCACUCAUAGAACUAUUGUAUUUAUACAAACCUGGUGAUUGGACAUCUGCGUGUAUGAAAAAAAUUUGUCUUCAUGGGCCCGGAGGGUCUCGUACAGUGCCCAGAACUGUCCCCUUUCCUGUCGGUUGGCAAUGACAGGAUGGACCCAGAAGCGUCGCCUGCUCUCUCUCCUACGCCUCAAAUGUCGGAGAAGGAUUGCUGACACAAUUGCUGCAAUUGGUCGCCUUCGGGAGUAUUCCAUGGUCGCAAACAAUCCACUACAAUCCACUCUCUCAACACACAUGAAAUGUAUCACCUCCAUUUCUCUCUCAUUAGACACCUUUCAUAUAGACAGGCCUGUAUUUUCAUUGGACAACACUGCUGUCAAUCACACAACGUUCUACGCGCGUUGACUAUGGACAAUAACGCGCGUUUUGUCGCGCAUAAAACGCGCAUAUCCAAAACGCUCAGGUCUGAACCCAGCCUUAGGAGCGCAAAGGUUAGUUGCAAUCCAGCUGCACACUAUAGGAAAAAGUGAGGGCUGUACUGAGGAGUCGUAUAUAUAAACCUGUAGAUGUGGUAUGGAGUAUGCUGGUAAUACAAUCCAGAAAUUCUUGAAGAGGAUAAGGAAACCUAUUGGAGACAUAGAAAAUUGAAUGGCCAUUCCUUUUGCCAGUUAUGUGUUGAACACAAAGGAGAUCCCAAUUGCAUUAAAUCCAUCGAUUUUGAGUUGAUCACUCAAACCAUCUAAUAGGAGAGGCAAUUUGGGUAAACGUUGGAAUUUUCCAUCAGGAGCCACAUUACCUAAUGGCCUUGAUGAACAGCUUAAUUUUAGCUGUUUCAUUUUAAGGCUACUUUAACACCUGCAUUAGGUGCUGAACCGUCUGGUAUUUGCACAGACGGAUCCGCACCUAUAAUGCAAACGCUUGUAUCCGUUCAGAUUGGAACAGUUUGCAUUAUUCUUUUUUUUUUUAAGUCUCAAGUCAAAACGGA